UACGAAGGGGGCAAGCGUUGUUCGGAAUUAUUGGGCGUAAAGGGGAGCGUAGGCGGUUCGGCAAGUCUUUAGUGAAAAUCUCUGGGCUCAACUCAGAGUCUGCUGGAGAAACUGCCGGGCUGGAGUGAUGGGAGAGGUGAGUGGAAUUCCCGGUGUAGCGGUGAAAUGCGUAGAGAUCGGGAGGAACACCAGCGGCGAAGGCGG
rnacentral:rRNA from 1 species